GCGGUCGUGGCGGAAUUGGCAGACGCGCACGGUUCAGGUCCGUGUGGUAGAAAUAUCGUGGAGGUUCGAGUCCUCUCGACCGCA
rnacentral:tRNA from 1 species